CAGUCGCCACGGUAAUACGGAGGAUCCAAGCGUUAUCCGGAUUUAUUGGGUUUAAAGGGUGCGUAGGCGGCCAAUUAAGUCAGGGGUGAAAGACGGUAGCUUAACUAUCGCAGUGCCUUUGAUACUGAUUGGCUUGAAUGUACUUGAGGUAGGCGGAAUGUGACAAGUAGCGGUGAAAUGCAUAGAUAUGUCACAGAACACCAAUUGCGAAGGCAGCUUACUAAAGUAUGAUUGACGCUGAGGCACGAAAGCGUGGGGAUCAAACAGGAUUAGAUACCCGCGUAGUCCCUGUCUCUUAUAC
rnacentral:rRNA from 1 species